rnacentral:rRNA from 1 species
CGUAGGUGGCAAGCGUUGUCCGGAAUUAUUGGGCGUAAAGCGCGCGCAGGUGGUUCCUCAAGUCUGAUGUGAAAGCCCACGGCUCAACCGUGGAGGGUCAUUGGAAACUGGGGAACUUGAGUGCAGAAGAGGAAAGUGGAAUUCCAAGUGUAGCGGUGAAAUGCGUAGAGAUUUGGAGGAACACCAGUGGCGAAGGCGACUUUCUGGUCUGUAACUGACACUGAGGCGCGAAAGCGUGGGGAGCAAACAGGAUUAGAUACCCUGGUAGUCCACGCCGUAAACGAUGAGUGCUAAGUGUUAGGGGGUUUCCGCCCCUUAGUGCUGCAGCUAACGCAUUAAGCACUCCGCCUGGGGAGUACGGCCGCAAGGCUG